GAUUUUCUUUCGACAUAUCUUACUUUUUGAUAAAUUUCAUAAAAUCGAAAUGAAUUAUUUCUUAUUAUAAGAAAUUUCGGCAAGUUGCAACUGUGUGGCAUCUAUUCGAGCCUAGACCAUACGGAUAAAUCGGUGCCCUGUCAAAUGGUUUCCCACACGCGAGCGGACAUAACUCCCACCUUCGUGAUAGCCUCUCACACGCGCUGGACAAAACUCACCAGGCAGAUGCCAUCGUGGACGGCGCAUUAAUCGAAUGCGUAAAUUCGUGGAGAUCGCUGAUAAACCAGCUGCUGGGUAGCUCCAAAGGCGACCCAAGAUGCUAUCCAAAGCUCAUUGAAACAAUUAAAUGGCGCGCGCGUUUGCGCCGUUUCUAAUGAUGAUGGGGCCGCAGCCCCAGCCCCAGUCCCAGGUCGAACUCAAGCUAAGACAACCCGGCUCUAUAGAUAAGGCAUUAAAAAGCAAUUAUGACGACAAAUCUGUAAACAUACGGCAAUCGUUUUAAUGGCGGACUUAGCGCAACAUUUAGAAGGUAAUAAAAACAAGGCAGGCGCCAGAGGCACAGUCAA